UACGGGGGGAGCAAGCGUUGUUCGGAUUUACUGGGCGUAAAGGGCGCGUAGGCGGCCACUGCAAGUCAGUUGUGAAAUCUCCGGGCUUAACCCGGAAAGGUCAACUGAUACUGCAGGGCUAGAGUGCAGAAGGGGCAACUGGAAUUCUCGGUGUAGCGGUGAAAUGCGUAGAUAUCGAGAGGAACACCUGCGGCGAAGGCGGGUUGCUGGGCUGACACUGACGCUGACAGCGCGAAAGCUAGGGGAGCGAACGGG
rnacentral:rRNA from 1 species